rnacentral:tRNA from 1 species
GUCUAGCUUAGUUGGUAAAAUACAAGGCUUUUAACCUCGUGGUCGUGGGUUUGAGCCCCACAGUGGACG